rnacentral:rRNA from 1 species
CCUACGGGAGGCUGCAGUGGGGGAUAUUGCACAAUGGGGGAAACCCUGAUGCAGCGACGCCGCGUGGGCGAAGAAGUAUUUCGGUAUGUAAAGCCCUAUCAGCAGGGAAGAAGAAAUGACGGUACCUGAGUAAGAAGCACCGGCUAAAUACGUGCCAGCAGCCGCGGUAAUACGUAUGGUGCAAGCGUUAUCCGGAUUUACUGGGUGUAAAGGGAGCGCAGGCGGCAGUGCAAGUCUGGAGUGAAAGGCGGGGGCUCAACCCCCGGACUGCUCUGGAAACUGUACGGCUGGAGUGCAGGAGAGGUAAGUGGAAUUCCUAGUGUAGCGGUGAAAUGCGUAGAUAUUAGGAGGAACACCAGUGGCGAAGGCGGCUUACUGGACUGUAACUGACGUUGAGGCUCGAAAGCGUGGGGAGCAAACAGGAUUAGAUACCCCUGUAGUC